rnacentral:rRNA from 1 species
GGGGCGCAGCAGGCGCGAAACCUCCACAAUGUGAGAAAUCGCGAUGGGGGGAUCCCAAGUGCCAUUCUUAACGGGAUGGCUUUUCAUUAGUGUAAAAAGCUUUUGGAAUAAGAGCUGGGCAAGACCGGUGCCAGCCGCCGCGGUAACACCGGCAGCUCUAGUGGUAGCAAUUUUUAUUGGGCCUAAAGCGUCCGUAGCCGGUUUAAUAAGUCUCUGGUGAAAUCCUGUAGCUUAACUAUGGGAAUUGCUGGAGAUACUAUUAGACUUGAGACCGGGAGAGGUUAGAGGUACUCCCAGGGUAGAGGUGAAAUUCUGUAAUCCUGGGAGGACCGCCUGUUGCGAAGGCGUCUAACUGGAACGGUUCUGACGGUGAGGGACGAAAGUUAGGGGCGCGAACCGGAUUAGAUACCCGGGUAGUCCUAACUGUAAACGAUGCGGACUUGGUGUUGGGGUGGCUUUGAGCUGCUCCAGUGCCGAAGGGAAGCUGUUAAGUCCGCCGCCUGGGAAGUACGGUCGCAAGACUGAAACUUAA